GACGAACGCUGGCGGCGUGCUUAACACAUGCAAGUCGAACGGGCCCGCUCUCUUUUUUGGGGGUGGGUUGAGUGGCGAACGGGUGAGUAUCACGUGAGUAACCUGCCCCCUGCUCCUGGAUAACUGCUUGAAAGGGCGGCUAAUACGGGGUGUGCCGGCUGGUCCGCAUGGGCCUGGUCGGGAUAGUUUCAUCUUCGGGUGUUUCGGUGGGGGAUGGGCUCGCGGCCUAUCAGCUUGUUGGUGGGGUGAUGGCCCACCAAGGCGGUGACGGGUAGCCGGCCUGAGAGGGUGGGCGGCCACACUGGGACUGAGACACGGCCCAGACUCCGGCGGGAGGCAGCAGGGGGGGGUAUUGCACAAUGGGCGGAAGCCUGAUGCAGCGACGUCGCGUGAGGGAUGGAGGCCUUCGGGUGGGGAACCUCUUUCUCCGGUGGUGAAGGCCCUGUCCGUUGCGGCGGGGUUGACGGUAGCCGGGUAUGAAGCGCCGGCUAACUACGUG
rnacentral:rRNA from 1 species